CAAUAUCAUCCGAGAGGCAAAGAAAACCUUUCUCUCUUAAUCUCAUCUCACUUUUCCCCAUGUCUCUAAAUCAUAUCUUCAUCUCUCAAUUUUUUUUCCUUUCAAUCUUCAUGUCUUAAAGCUUUGCGAUGGGUAAUCUUGACGGUUUCUUGGUAGGUGUUGAAAGUAUCAAGAAUAGUAGAGAAGAUAAUGGGUUUAAUCAUGGUUAUCGAGAUCGCGAUCUACAUCUCAAGAUCUUGCGAUUCAUCCUACCUCCACCGAUCUGGAGUGGUUUGAAGAUUAUAGAUCAUGGCAGAUUAAGCGGCGCACCGUGGAAAAGCGGAAACUCGUGGAAUCAUCGCAUUUUUCCAAACUAGAGAAGAGGUUUGUCCCAGUUUCAGUAGGCGUUGACCCGAUUGGACCCGGUUUUGAUCUGCAGUGUCUGUUUCGUUUUCGACUGAUUCGGUCAUAAUUCGACGUGUUUCACCCUAGAAGCUAGAUUAUCCAUCCACAUAAAUGAAAUCAAAAUUCAACACAAAGAUUCAAGUAGUAAAGGGUUGGUAGCAAUAUAUACAGAUGCUAUACAUUUUGGGAUUAUUCAUUACUUCUGACUUCAAAGAAUAAUUAACCUAAAAUUGAAGUCCUCUUUUCCUUGCAAGAAGAUCUCCCAACGUUGGCAACAAAUCUUAACUUUGACGGAAAGAUUCCAGCAGAAAAGGUAAACAAUAUAGUUUAAUUUCUUGAUUAUUUACAACAAUUUAUUGUUAUCAAACAUGUUUUAGGGUUUAUAUUAUCAUUUUACAUUAUGUAUCUAUAUCUCUUCGAUAAA